rnacentral:rRNA from 1 species
AUUGAACGCUGGCGGCAGGCCUAACACAUGCAAGUCGAGCGGAAGAAGGGAGCUUGCUCCUGGAUUCAGCGGCGGACGGGUGAGUAAUUGCUAGGAAUCUGCCAGGUAGUGGGGGAUAACGUCCGGAAACGGGCGCUAAUACCGCAUACGUCCUGAGGGAGAAAGUGGGGGAUCUUCGGACCUCACGCUAUCAGAUGAGCCUAGGUCGGAUUAGCUAGUUGGUGGGGUAAAGGCCUACCAAGGCGACGAUCCGUAACUGGUCUGAGAGGAUGAUCAGUCACACUGGAACUGAGACACGGUCCAGACUCCUACGGGAGGCAGCAGUGGGGAAUAUUGGACAAUGGGCGAAAGCCUGAUCCAGCCAUGCCGCGUGUGUGAAGAAGGUCUUCGGAUUGUAAAGCACUUUAAGUUGGGAGGAAGGGCAGUAAGUUAAUACCUUGCUGUUUUGACGUUACCAACAGAAUAAGCACCGGCUAACUUCGUG